rnacentral:rRNA from 1 species
UACGGGGGGAGCAAGCGUUGUUCGGAUUUACUGGGCGUAAAGGGCGGGUAGGCGGCCACCGCAAGUCAGUUGUGAAAUCUCUGGGCUUAACCCAGAAAGGUCAACUGAUACUGCGGGGCUAGAGUGCAGAAGGGGCAACUGGAAUUCUCGGUGUAGCGGUGAAAUGCGCAGAUAUUAGGAAGAACACCGGUGGCGAAGGCGGCUCUCUGGAACGGUACUGACGCUGAGACGCGAAAGCGUGGGGAGCGAACAGG